UAUGUGUGUAUGUAUGCAUGUGCGUUGGUAUGCGAGUGUCAAAACAUUAGCAUUGUUUGGAGCUCGGCUUGCUUUUGGCGACUUGCAGUUGAGCGCGAACAACGGUAUGGAAUGGAUCGUGCCGAAUGUCGUGUUGUUGUGGUGUGCUUUUUUCCGUUACGAUUUACGCGUAUAUGAUUUAAUGAAAAGUGAUUUGUUGUUGGCCAAACAAAUAAGUACAAACAAUAAAACCGAAAACAAAACAUGUGCAAUUGAUUGUUGUUAUUUGCUGUUGUAGUUAUUAGCUAUCAAUUAAUGAGCAAACCGACAACCGCAACAGUAGCAACAACAUUUUACAUAUCUACCAGUAUAAACUUUCAUAUGUGGAUACAUUUGUACAUAGGUAUCUAACAAUAAUAAUAACAACAAACACAUCGACAAUUACCUGCCAACAACGAAAAUUAACUUAAACACACGUCAACGUUGCAUUCACACAUUUGUCAGCGCUUGCGCGCGCAACAAGCGCAUCCGUGAGCGGUGCGCAUUCGUACGCAUAAUGUUUGUACAUAUGUAUGUAUGCACGUACGUGCUUACCUUCGUCUAAGCUCUAGUUGUUGUUAUUGUAGCACAGAAUUUUUAAACCUAUUUAUUGCACUUUAAGCUGUUAAUUGUUUCUGUUGCGUUAAUAUCUCAACAAAGUGGCUUUAUUUACUCAUCAGCGAAUAGUGACUUCGGAGUACGCUUAGUGUUCGGUUCGUAACAGUGUUGUGUUGCUUUGCGAAAAAAUCGAGUGAGCGGUUUUCAGAUGUCGUGUUAACGCGUUCGAUGCGCAGCGCCGGUAGUGUUGUUGUUAUGAAGCGAAUUACUUGUUAAGGCGUCAAAUUCAGAGUUGCAUAAAAAGAAAGAAAAAAAAA